rnacentral:lncRNA from 1 species
ACACAAGUCUUCACUCCUUCCUGCGAGCCCUGAGGAAGCCUUCUUUCCCCAGACAUGGCCAACAAGGGUCCUUCCUAUGGCAUGAGCCGCGAAGUGCAGUCCAAAAUCGAGAAGAACUCCUUGGCUGCAGCCAUCCCGCUUAGCCUGCCUCACCCACACCCGUGUGGUACCUUCAGCCCUGGCCAAGCUUUGAGGCUCUGUCACUGAGCAAUGGUAACUGCACCUGGGCAGCUCCUCCCUGUGCCCCCAGCCUCAGCCCAACUUCUUACCCGAAAGCAUCACUGCCUUGGCCCCUCCCUCCCGGCUGCCCCCAUCACCUCUACUGUCUCCUCCCUGGGCUAAGCAGGGGAGAAGCGGGCUGGGGGUAGCCUGGAUGUGGGCCAAGUCCACUGUCCUCCUUGGCGGCAAAAGCCCAUUGAAGAAGAACCAGCCCAGCCUGCCCCCUAUCUUGUCCUGGAAUAUUUUUGGGGUUGGAACUCAAAAAAAAAAAAAAAAAAUCAAUCUUUUC